CUACGGGAGGCAGCAGUAAGGAAUCUUCCACAAUGGGCGAAAGCCUGAUGGAGCAACGCCGCGUGCAGGAUGAAGGCCUUCGGGUCGUAAACUGCUUUUAUAAGUGAGGAAUAUGACGGUAACUUAUGAAUAAGGAUCGGCUAACUCCGUGCCAGCAGCCGCGGUAAUACGAAGGGGGCUAGCGUUGUUCGGAAUUACUGGGCGUAAAGGCCUACCAAGGCGACGAUCCAUAGCUGGUCUGAGAGGAUGAUCAGCCACAUUGGGACUGAGACACGGCCCAAACUUCGAGAAUCAUUCACAAUGGGGGAAACCCUGAUGGUGCGACGCCGCGUGGAGGAUGAAGGUGUUUUCAUUGUAAACUCCUGUCAUGUGGGAACAAGAAAGUGAUAGUACCACAAGAGGAAGAGACGGCUAACUCUGUGCCAGCAGCCGCGGUAAUA
rnacentral:rRNA from 1 species